CAAGUCGAGGGAAUCCCAGCAAUGGGGGAACCGGCGUAAGGGGCAGUAAGGCAUGGGUACCUACCCUGAAGUUCGGGAUAGCCAUCAGAGAUGGUGGGUAAUACCGGAUGAUGUCGAGAGACCAAAGAUUUAUCGCUUUGGGAGGGGCCCAUGUGAUAUUAGCUAGUUGGUGAGGUAACGGCUCACCAAGGCAAAGAUGUCUAGCGGGUAUGAGAGUACGACCCGCGCCACUCGCACUGAGACACUGGCGAGACACCUACGGGUGGCUGCAGUCGAGGAUCUUCGUCAAUGGGCGAAAGCCUGAACGAGCGAUGCCGCGUGCGCGAUGAAGGCCUUCGGGUUGUAAAGCGCUUUAGUGGGGGAGAAAAGGGUAAAACUUUGAUCUAUCCCAAAAAUAAGCUCGGGCUAAGUUCGUGCCAGCAGCCGCGGUAAGACGAACCGAGCGAACGUUGUUCGGAAUCACUGGGCUUAAAGGGCGCGUAGGCGGGCUGUCAAGUCUGGGGUGAAAUCCCACGGCUCAACCGUGGAACUGCCUUAGAUACUGACGGCCUCGAGGGAGAUAGGGGCGAGCGGAACUGUGAGUGGAGCGGUGAAAUGCGUUGAUAUUCACAGGAACUCCGGUGGCGAAGGCGGCUCGCUGGAUCUUUUCUGACGCUGAGGCGCGAAAGCUAGGGGAGCAAACGGGAUUAGAUACCCCGGUAGUCCUAGCCCUAAACGUUGGGUACUGGGUAGUAGACUAGACAUGGGUUUACUGCCGCAGCAAAAGUGCUAAGUACCCCGCCUGGGGAGUAUGGUCGCAAGGCUGAAACUCAAAGGAAUUGACGGGGGCUCACACAAGCGGUGGAGCAUCUGGCUUAAUUCGAGGCUAC
rnacentral:rRNA from 1 species